rnacentral:rRNA from 1 species
GACGAACGCUGGCGGCGUGCUUAACACAUGCAAGUCGAACGGAAAGGCCCUGCUUUUGUGGGGUGCUCGAGUGGCGAACGGGUGAGUAACACGUGAGUAACCUGCCCUUGACUUUGGGAUAACUUCAGGAAACUGGGGCUAAUACCGGAUAGGAGCUCCUGCUGCAUGGUGGGGGUUGGAAAGUUUCGGCGGUUGGGGAUGGACUCGCGGCUUAUCAGCUUGUUGGUGGGGUAGUGGCUUACCAAGGCUUUGACGGGUAGCCGGCCUGAGAGGGUGACCGGCCACAUGGGGACUGAGAGACGGCCCAGACUCCGACGGGGGGCAGAAGGGGGGAAUAUGGCACAAUGGGGGGAGGCCGGAGGCAGCAGCGCCGCGUGGGGGAUGACGGCCUUCGGGUUGAAAUUCGUUUCCGCCGGGGACGAAGCGGGAGUGACGGUAGGGGGUAAAAAAGCCCCGGCAAACAACGGG